rnacentral:rRNA from 1 species
UACGGAGGAUCCAAGCGUUAUCCGGAUUCAUUGGGUUUAAAGGGUGCGUAGGCGGCUUAUUAAGUCAGCGGUGAAAUCCUGGAGCUUAACUCCAGAACUGCCAUUGAUACUGAUGAGCUUGAGUACACUUGAAGUGGGCGGAAUGUGUCGUGUAGCGGUGAAAUGCUUAGAUAUGACACAGAACACCGAUUGCGAAGGCAGCUCACUAAAUUGUCACUGACGCUGAGGCACGAAAGCGUGGGGAUCAAACAGG